GACGAACGCUGGCGGCGUGCUUAACACAUGCAAGUCGAACGGAAAGGCCCUGCUUUUGUGGGGUGCUCGAGUGGCGAACGGGUGAGUAACACGUGAGUAACCUGCCCUUGACUUUGGGAUAACUUCAGGAAACUGGGGUUAAUAUCGGACAGGAGCUCCUGCUGCAUGGUGGGGGUUGGAAAGUUUUGGCGGUGGGGGAUGGACUCGCGGCUUAUCGGCUUGUUGGUGGGGUAGUGGCUUACCAAGGCAUUGACGGGUAGCCGGCCUGAGAGGGUGACCGGCCACAUUGGGACUAAGAUAGGACCAAGAGUGCAACGGGGGGCAGCGGUGGGAAAUAUUGCACAAUGGGCGGAAGCCGGGUACAGCGACGCCGCGUGCGGAAUGACGGCUUUCGGGGUAUAAACCGCUUUCGCCUGUGACGAAGCGUGAGUGACGGUAAUGAGUAAAGAAGCACCGGCUAACUACGUG
rnacentral:rRNA from 1 species